GUCCACACUGUAAACUAUGAUCACUCGCUGUGUGCGAUAUACAGUACGCGGCUAAGCGAAAGCGUUAAGUGAUCCACCUGGGGAGUACGCCGGCAACGGUGAAACUCAAAGGAAUUGACGGGGGCCCCGCACAAGCGGAGGAGCAUGUGGUUUAAUUCGAUGGUACGCGAGGAACCUUACCAGGGCUUGAAAGUUAGUGACCGGUGGUGAAAGCCACUUUUCAGCAAUGACACGAAACUAGGUGCUGCAUGGCUGUCGU
rnacentral:rRNA from 1 species